CCCUCUUCAGGCUACAAACUUUUGAAAGAUUGUAGCCUGAAGAGGGUGGUAAAGCCAUUGAGGAUAUUGCUUUAAUAAAGAUGAUGUGUUCUACAACUGCCGAGUAGUGCUUUAAAGCUGAUUUAACUGUAUAUUGAAACAGAUGAUCAACAAUUACCUUCUGAUGAGAAUGACAAUAAGGCUAACAACUAACAACAGAAUCAAUAAAGUGAAGCAGUUUUGAAAAACUGCUUUCAUUUCUUUGAUUAUAUUUCAAGACAGUUUUCAAAACUGUCUUGAAAUAUAACCAAGGAAAAUGAAAGCAGUCUUUUUUAAAAAAUGUUUAGCCUUCAGUUGGACCAAAUGUGAGAAUCAAACUACUGGAUGUAGAUGGGCCAAAUUUGAUAAAAAAUCAAUUAUAACUAUUAUCAUGAGUAUUCAAUAUGAUGACUUUUAUCAACUCUAUACCAAAACUGGAAAAUUGAAAUCAUUGUACAUUAGAAACAAUUUAUACUGUAAAAAGAAAAUUUUAUCUGCAUUAAAAAAAUAGGAAAAGGUUAAUGUAUAGGAAAUAAUUAGUAAAUUAUCUUUUACUGAAAGUCAAGGAUUCAAAAGCAAACUGUUUAUUAAAGUUUUAAUGAAAAAAUGCAAAUCCUCUUCCAUAUUGUGCAAUUCUAAAUUUCAUAAUAGUUAAACCUUGUUGCUAUAGUAACUUGGAGUGAAUGCG
rnacentral:lncRNA from 1 species